rnacentral:rRNA from 1 species
UACGUAGGAUGCAAGCGUUGUCCGGAUUUACUGGGCGUAAAGCGCGCGCAGGCGGCAGUGUAAGUAAGGUGUGAAAUAUCCCGGCUCAACCGGGAGGGUGCACUUUAGACUACACAGCUUGAGGUCGGUAGAGGGGGGUAGAAUUGCUGGUGUAGCGGUGAAAUGCGUAGAGAUCAGCAGGAAUACCCGUGGCGAAGGCGGCCCCCUGGGCCGUACCUGACGCUGAGGCGCGAAGGCUAGGGGAGCAAACGGG